AUUAGAUCAAGACCAGACGACCCUCGGGUCGUCCCCCUGGUGACUCUGAAUAACUUUGAGCUGAUCGCACGGCCUCGCGCCGGCGACGUGUCCUUCCAAGGUGUGCCCUAUCAACUGUCGACUGUGGCAUAGACGCCCACAGUGGUUUUGACGGGUAACGGGGAAUCAGGGUUCGAUUCCGGAGAGGGAGCCUGAGAGACGGCUACCACUUCUAAGGAAGGCAGCAGGCACGCAAAUUACCCACUGGCCGAAGGCCGAGGUAGUGACGAAAAAUAACGAUACCGGACUCAUCCGAGGCCCGGUAAUCGGAAUGAGUACACUUUAAAUCCUUUAACGAGGAACCAUUGGAGGGCAAGUCUGGUGCCAGCAGCCGCGGUAAUUCCAGCUCCAAUAGCAUAUGUUAAUGUUGUUGCGGUUAAAAAGCUCGUAGUUGGAUCUCGGCGGGCCGGGGGCGGUUCGCUCUCUGGCGUGACUGCCCCACAGGCCCGUGUUUUUGGCGGAGGUCGUCGGGUGCUCUUAACCGAGCGUCCUGCGGCGCCGUCAGGUUUACUUUGAAAAAAUUAGAGUGCUCCAGGC
rnacentral:rRNA from 1 species